rnacentral:rRNA from 1 species
GACGAACCGAGCGAACGUUAUUCGGAAUCACUGGGCUUAAAGGGCGCGUAGGCGGGCGGCCAAGUCAGGGGUGAAAGCCCCCAGCUCAACUGGGGAAGUGCCUUUGAUACUGGUCAUCUCGAGGGAGAUAGGGGCGUGCGGAACUUCCGGUGGAGCGGUGAAAUGCGUAGAUAUCGGAAGGAACACCGGUGGCGAAAGCGGCGCGCUGGAUCUCUUCUGACGCUGAGGCGCGAAAGCCAGGGGA